rnacentral:sRNA from 1 species
UCGUGGCGCAGUUCAGGCAUUAAUGCAA